rnacentral:misc_RNA from 1 species
AAAUAAUGCAAAUAUGUACAUCAAAUUAACCAAAAAGAAAUCAGACAUAACUUUCCCAGCCCCUUGAUCCUCCUGAACCGCCCUGUGUUCUGCCAUGAAUAGAAUCAGAGAUAAUUUAUGACAAUUGUAGAAGUUCAUUAGUUGUUGAUGGAGUGACCAACUCCUGGACUGUGACCUGGUUCUGUGGGUCGAAAAUCAUUUACAUAGUCCAUCUUACUUGUCUUCUCUUGACCACCCAAUAAUUUCUGGGUAUCCUCAGAUGCAUUCAAUGUGCUCUGAUCACUACGUUUGGAGUAUUUCUUGCACAGUUUAUGGGGCUUCAAAUGCCUUCCUUCUACAACCAAAACUUCAUGGCACAAUAGUAAAACAAGAAGAAAGGCGCAAGUACCCAUUACCCUAGUGGUUGCCAUGAGGAAAGAUCAGAUACAGGUUUUGAAGUUGAUGAGCUACAAGUGAGAGAGAGGGAGACAAUGUGUGAUAGUUAAGG